UUCACAAAGAGUAACUUAAAAUUAAUCAGAGACCUAAAUGUAAAAGAAAAUUAUAAAAUUCCUAGAAGAUAACAGGAGAAAAUGUAAGUGACCCUGGGUAUGAUGAUAGUUCUUUAGAUACCACACAAAAGAAACAUGAAAGAAACAAUUAAGUCAGGUGCUCAUGCCUGUAAUUACAGCUACUUGGGAGACUGGCAGGAGGAUUGCAAAUCAAAUCUAGCCUGGGGAAUGUGAAAAGACCCUGUCUCAAAAUAAAAAAUAAAAAGGCUGGGGAUGUAGCUCAGUGGUUGAGUGCCCCUGGGUUUAAUUCCCAGUCCCACAGCAAGGAGAAGAAGAAAAACAAUUGAUAAACUGGACUUUAUUAGCAUGAAAAACUGAUGCUCUGUGAAACAUAAUGUUAAGAGGAUGAGAAGAUCAUCCACAGACUGUGAGAAAAUAUUUGCAAAGUCUUUAAAGGACUUUUUCUAAAAUACAAAGAAGUCUUUGUAAGAAAACUAAGAAAUACAAAAAUGAGCAGCAUGAUUUAAGAAAUUGGCAAAAGACAUGAAAACAUUAAAGACACAGAGAUGGCAAAUAAACAUGAAAAGAUGCUCCACAUUGUGUAUCAUAGGGAAUUGCAAAUUAAAAUAUGUAUCACCACUACAUACCUAUUAAAAAGCCAAAAUCCAGAACACUGAUAUCAUAAACGCUGGCAAAGAUGUGGAAUAAUGGGAACCCGUAUUUAUUGCUGGUGGAAAUACAAAAUGGUCUAGCCACUUUAGAAGGUCAUUUGGCAGUUUCUUAUAAAACUAAAUGUACUUUUAGCAUACAAACCAGCAAUUGGGCUCCUUGGUGUUUAUUCAAAGGAACUAAAGACUAUGUCCACACAGAAACCUAUUUUUAGCAACUUUAUUCAUAAUUGCCCCAAACUGGGGCAACCAGGAUGUCCUUCAGUAGGUGAAUGGUGAAUGGAUAACUAAAUUAUGGCACAUCUAU
rnacentral:lncRNA from 1 species